ACGAAGGAUGCAAGCGUUAUCCGGAUUCAUUGGGUUUAAAGGGAGCGUAGGUGGCCUUAUAAGUCAGUGGUGAAAUCUCUGGGCUUAACCCAGAAAUUGCCAUUGAUACUGUAGGGCUUGAGUACAGUUGCUGUGGGCGGAAUAUGACAUGUAGUGGUGAAAUACAUAGAGAUGUCAUAGAACACCGAUUGCGAAGGCAGCUCACAAAACUGUAACUGACACUGAGGCUCGAAAGUGCGGGGAUCAAACAGGA
rnacentral:rRNA from 1 species